rnacentral:rRNA from 1 species
UACGAAGGGGGCUAGCGUUGCUCGGAAUCACUGGGCGUAAAGCGCACGUAGGCGGCUUUUCAAGUCGGAUGUGAAAUCCCUCGGCUUAACCAAGGAAGUGCAUCCGAAACUGGAGAGCUUGAGUACUUAAGAGGAUCGCGGAAUUCCCGGUGUAGAGGUGAAAUUCGUAGAUAUCGGGAGGAACACCAGUGGCGAAGGCGGCGAUCUGGGAAGAUACUGACGCUGAGGUGCGAAAGCGUGGGGAGCAAACAGG